AACCUCCGCAAUGUGAGAAAUCGCGACGGGGGGAUCCCAAGUGCCAUUCUUAACGGGAUGGCUUUUCAUUAGUGUAAAGAGCUUUUGGAAUAAGAGCUGGGCAAGACCGGUGCCAGCCGCCGCGGUAACACCGGCAGCUCUAGUGGUAACAAUUUUUAUUGGGCCUAAAGCGUCCGUAGCCGGUUUAAUAAGUCUCUGGUGAAAUCCUGCAGCUUAACUGUGGGAAUUGCUGGAGAUACUAUUAGACUUGAGACCGGGAGUGGUUAGAGGUACUCCCAGGGUAGAGGUGAAAUUCUGUAAUCCUGGGAGGACCGCCUGUUGCGAAGGCGUCUAACUGGAACGGUUCUGACGGUGAGGGACGAAAGUUAGGGGCGCGAACCGGAUUAGAUACCCGGGUAGUCCUAACUGUAAACGAUGCGGACUUGGUGUUGGGGUGGCUUUGAGCUGCUCCAGUGCCGAAGGGAAGCUGUUAAGUCCGCCGCCUGGGAAGUACGGUCGCAAGACUGAAACUUAAAGGAAUU
rnacentral:rRNA from 1 species